GGGGAAUAUUGCACAAUGGGGGAAACCCUGAUGCGGCGACGCCGCGUGAAGGAAGAAGGCUUUCGGGUUGUAAACUUCUUUUGACAGGGAAGAGCAGAAGACGGUACCUGUCGAAUAAGCCACGGCUAACUAC
rnacentral:rRNA from 1 species